CCUCAAAUCUCUUAUUCUCUCUCUCUCUAAACCCUUCAACUCGAUUCAACCUUCUUCAGCUCGGUGAUUUAUCAUUCGGUCGAUCCAAUCUCAGAAUGAUUUUGAUUUCGAAGCUCCACCUCCACCGCCACCGCCACCGCCACCACCAUCUGCCUCUGCAUCUACAUCGUCUAUUAAGCAUCUGCACGAUCUCAAUUUCAAUCCAAUCUUAGUUUUAUCGAUUCUUCUCUCUCUCUCUCUCUCUCUCUCUCUCUCUCUCUCGAUCUCUGUCUUUGUCUCUAUCUUUAUCUCCCUCUCUCUCGAUCUCUCAAUCUCUCUCUCAUAAUGAUUUUGGUUUUGUUGACAAAUUUUGUGACAAAAAUUAGGGGUUUGUGGCUUUCAUCGUUUAUUAACACAAGAUUGUGGAGCUUUAACUCCCAUCUUUGCUUUCGAUUGCUGGUUAGAUGGUGAUUUGCUGUGGUUUUUUAUUUUGUUUAUUUGUUUAUUUUUUGUAGUGGUAUUUUUCUGGUAGAAUGAAGAUACUUAUACAUUUGUCAAAGAAGAUAGGUCACCAACAAUUAUUUCCAUUCCAAAGUCAUCUGACAGUGUCUCCUCUAGUUCAUCACGGAGCAAGACUCGGGGGAGGUUAACUUGCAAAGAUCUGCAAUUGCACAAGUUGGUAUUUCAGGAUGAUGCACUACCUGAUGGAACUGAACCAGCUUAUUUUGUUCGUGGGCAGGUUGUUAAGAAGAGCACAUACAUAUUAUUAUUUUGGUUUAAGGAAAUGUUUAUGUUGCUUUUUAUAAAGAUCAAAUGUAUUAAACAAUUAACAUAUAUAUUUUUUUUAUUUUUUGUGGAAACAACGC